UAAUUGAAGAGUUUGAUCAUGGCUCAGAUUGAACGCUGGCGGCAGGCCUAACACAUGCAAGUCGAGCGUUAACAGGAGAAAGCUUGCUUUCUUUCUGACGAGCGGCGGACGGGUGAGUAAUGUAUGGGGAUCUGCCCGAUAGAGGGGGAUAACUACUGGAAACUGUGGCUAAUACCGCAUAAUGUCUACGGACCAAAGCAGGGGCUCUUCGGACCUUGCACUAUCGGAUGAACCCCUAUGGGAUUAGCUAGUAGGUGGGGUAAAGGCUCACC
rnacentral:rRNA from 1 species